rnacentral:rRNA from 1 species
UAUCAGAGUAGGACUAAGCCAUGCGAGUCAACGCCGCAAGGCGUGGCAUACGGCUCAGUAACACGUAGUCAACAUGCCCAAAGGACGUGGAUAACCUCGGGAAACUGAGGAUAAACCGCGAUAGGCCAAGGUUUCUGGAAUGAGCCAUGGCCGAAAUCUAUAUGGCCUUUGGAUUGGACUGCGGCCGAUCAGGCUGUUGGUGAGGUAAUGGCCCGCCAAACCUGUAACCGGUACGGGCUUUGAGAGAAGGAGCCCGGAGAUGGGCACUGAGACAAGGGCCCAGGCCCUAUGGGGCGCAGCAGGCGCGAAACCUCUGCAAUAGGCGAAAGCUUGACAGGGUUACUCUGAGUGAUGCCCGCUAAGGGUAUCUUUUGGCACCUCUAAAAAUGGUGCAGAAUAAGGGGUGGGCAAGCCUGGUGUCAGCCGCCGCGGUAAUACCAGCACCCCGAG